AAAAAGUGAAUCAAAUCUGGGGAUAGGUGAUCAGCUUACUUCGGCAAUCCCAAUUAAUUGUCAUCUCGGGUUCUUCGUCAACCUACUAGUCACUAACCUAGUAGGAUCUUCCACUAACAUAACGAGUUAGCAAGAACUACUUAUCUUCUGACCUCAUAGUCCUGAUUGGCUUGGGGUAAAGGUGUUCACAAAUGGGCAAUACAGAUUUUGGGUUAAUUCUGACCUUGAUAACUUUCCAG
rnacentral:lncRNA from 1 species